GCGCCGGUAGUCUAGCCUGGUUAGGACCUCAGCCUUCCAAGCUGAUGACCCGGGUUCAAAUCCCGGCCGGCGCA
rnacentral:tRNA from 3 species